rnacentral:rRNA from 1 species
CCCUUAGAUGUUCUGGGUCGCACGCGCGCUACACUGUUUGAUUCAGCGAGUCUUAACCUUGACCGAAAGGUUUGGGUAAUCUUCUAAAGUCAAACGUGAUGGGGAUCGAUCAUUGCAAUUAUUGAUCGUGAACGAGGAAUUCCUAGUAAAUGCAAGUCAUCAGCUUGCGUUGAUUACGUCCCUGCCCUUUGUACACACCGCCCGUCGCUACUACCGAUUGAAUGGUUUAGUGAGAUCUCCGGAUUGGCUCUGUAGGUCCCGCAAGGGAUUUAUUAGUAGCCAAGAAGCUGCUCAAACUUGAUCAUUUAGAGGAAGUAAAAGUCGUAACA